rnacentral:rRNA from 1 species
GCUUACGGCCAUACCACGUUAGGCACACCCGAUCUCGUCUGAUCUCGAAGCUAAGCAGGGUAGGGCCUGGUUAGUACUUGGAUGGGUGACCGCCUGGGAAUACCAGGUGCUGUAAGCA